CAGCUUAGACUUUGCUACUGAUGCUGUUUCUUCUGUCCUCUCUGGGAAAUAUCUUGUUCCUUGUGUUCUGUACUGUGUAGCUCUGGAUCAUAAACAGGAACUCAAAAGACUUUGAACUUCAGGAAAUCAAAGAUCUUGAAGAUUUACUCAGGCCUUGGCUGCAUGUUUUGUAAAUUUAGGUAUCCAAUUCUUUGCAGCAAGAUUUGUUGCUGAAAGUUUCAGCAUCAAAGACUAAGAAAAAAUACCAAAAGGCUAAGGCAGAGAUGAAAUCAGAGAUGUUUAUAACAGUAAUUUGCUUUUCAGGUGGCUCAACUUCCUUCCUUUAUUGUUCAAUUUGGAAUAGUUGGUUGGUGAGAAAAACUGAAUUUGAGCAGAUUUGUAAUAUAGAAGACAGGACAUGGUUAUAAUGAAGAAGUAAUCUGGGUUUGCAGCUUUUACUUGAUCCAGCAUUACCUGUCUUUUCUGUAACAUUCAAGGAAAGCUUGAUCCUUCAGUCCUCAGAUCCUUCUGCUAAAUCCAUAAAUUGAAGGAUUUUUUUAAGUACAUAUGCCCACAUUGAGACAGAAACUUGUGAUUGAAAAUUUUAGAGAGAAUUCAAAGUAUCUAUGUUUGAAAGAACACCACUGGGUUGUCUAAUGUUCUUGAGAGUUCAGAGUUACUCUUGCAUAGAGAGCUCUCGUAGUUGUACUAUUACCCUUCCAAUAC